rnacentral:rRNA from 1 species
AGGGUUUGAUCCUGGCUCAGAUUGAACGCUGGCGGCAGGCUUAACACAUGCAAGUCGAACGGUAACAGAGAAUAGCUUGCUAUUUUGCUGACGAGUGGCGGACGGGUGAGUAAUGCUUGGGAAUUUGCCUUGUUGUGGGGGACAACAGUUGGAAACGACUGCUAAUACCGCAUAAUGUCUUCGGACCAAAGGUGGCCUCUAUUUAUAUGCUAUCGCAACAAGAUGAGCCCAAGUGGGAUUAGCUAGUUGGUAAGGUAAUGGCUUACCAAGGCGACGAUCCCUAGCUGGUCUUAGAGGAUGACCAGCCACACUGGAACUGAGACACGGUCCAGACUCCUACGGGAGGCAGCAGUGGGGAAUAUUGCACAAUGGAGGAAACUCUGAUGCAGCCAUGCCGCGUGUGUGAAGAAGGCUUUCGGGUUGUAAAGCACUUUCAGCGAGGAGGAAAGGGUGUUACUUAAUACGUAACAUCUGUGACGUUACUCGCAGAAGAAGCACCGGCUAACUCCGUGCCAGCAGCCGCGGUAAUACGGAGGGUGCAAGCGUUAAUCGGAAUUACUGGGCGUAAAGCGCGCGUAGGUGGUUAAUCAAGUCAGAUGUGAAAGCCCAGGGCUCAACCUUGGAACUGCAUUUGAAACUGGUUGACUAGAGUUUUGUAGAGGGUGGUAGAAUUUCAGGUGUAGCGGUGAAAUGCGUAGAGAUCUGAAGGAAUACCAGUGGCGAAGGCGGCCACCUGGACAAAGACUGACACUGAGGCGCGAAGGCGUGGGGAGCAAACGGGAUUAGAUACCCCGGUAGUCCACGCAGUAAACGAUGUCUAUUAGAAGUUUGUGGCUAUAUGCCGUGGGUUUCAAAGCUAACGCAUUAAAUAGACCGCCUGGGGAGUACGGG